CCUACGGGAGGCAGCAGUGGGGAAUUUUCCGCAAUGGGCGAAAGCCUGACGGAGCAAUACCGCGUGAGGGAAGACUGCCUAUGGGUUGUAAACCUCUUUUUUCAGGGAGGAAUAAAAUGACGUGUACCUGAAGAAUAAGCAUCGGCUAACUCCGUGCCAGCAGCCGCGGUAAGACGGAGGAUGCAAGUGUUAUCCGGAAUCACUGGGCGUAAAGCGUCUGUAGGUGGUUUAAUAAGUCAACUGUUAAAUCUUGAGGCUCAACUUCAAAACCGCAGUCGAAACUAUUAGACUAGAGUAUAGUAGAGGUAAAGGGAAUUUCCAGUGGAGCGGUGAAAUGCGUAGAUAUUGGAAAGAACACCGAUGGCGAAAGCACUUUACUGGGCUAUUACUAACACUCAGAGACGAAAGCUAGGGUAGCAAAUGGGAUUAGAUACCCCAGUAGUCCUAGCCGUAAACUAUGGAUACUAGAUGUUGAACAGAUCGACCUGUGCAGUAUCAAAGCUAACGCGUUAAGUAUCCCGCCUGGGAAGUAUGCUCGCAAGAGUGAAACUUAAAGGAAUUGACGG
rnacentral:rRNA from 1 species